GGCAAGAGUGAGGCGCAUCGGCCUGCCUGGGCGGGCAGGGGCCCCGCAGACCGCACGCUGUGGUGCGGCACCGUGUGUGAGCGUAGGGGAGCGAGAGCCCAGGCCCUGGUGCGGGGAGGCCUGUCCUGGUGGCUGUGCUGGAGCCCGUGGCAGCCGUGGCCCUUCCCUUGGCAGCCCUGCUGCAGCCUGAGAUGUACAAGACACUUAAUCUUCAUAUUGUUCUGCUUGGAACUGAGACGUGGACAGAAAUGGACAUUUACUCAUUGGCUGGACCAUGCUUUUCACUUUUUUACUCCGUGGACUAGAUAGUUCCUUAAACCCUGCAUACACUUUGACCGUGCACAAUUACUCCUGUAAGGUACUCUUUCAUUUUCAUAUGACUGUAGAUCAGGCUUGUCCAACACGCGGCCUGCCAAGCCAUUUUAUCCGGCCUGUGGCAGCAGCACCGCUGCCGCAGAGCACAGUCGCAGUGGCAGCGCACAUUCCUCCACUUUUAUGAAAGCUUUAAAAGGCAUUUUCAUUUAUGUAACCAAACUUGCUGUUUCCAAUAUUGGGAUGUUGUGGUUUUGCAUCUGAAAUGAGGAGAGUUCAGACUUU